rnacentral:rRNA from 1 species
AUUGAACGCUGGCGGCAUGCUUUACACAUGCAAGUCGGACGGCAGCACAGAGAAGCUUGCUUCUUGGGUGGCGAGUGGCGAACGGGUGAGUAACAUAUCGGAACGUACCGAGCAGUGGGGGAUAACUAAUCGAAAGAUUAGCUAAUACCGCAUAUUUUCUGAGGAAGAAAGCAGGGGACCAUUUGGCCUUGCGCUGUUUGAGCGGCCGAUAUCUGAUUAGCUAGUUGGUGGGGUAAAGGCCUACCAAGGCGACGAUCAGUAGCGGGUCUGAGAGGAUGAUCCGCCACACUGGGACUGAGACACGGCCCAGACUCCUACGGGAGGCAGCAGUGGGGAAUUUUGGACAAUGGGCGCAAGCCUGAUCCAGCCAUGCCGCGUGUCUGAAGAAGGCCUUCGGGUUGUAAAGGACUUUUGUCAGGGAAGAAAAGGGCGGGGUUAAUACCCCUGUCUGAUGACGGUAC